UACAGAGGUCUCAAGCGUUGUUCGGAUUCAUUGGGCGUAAAGGGCGCGUAGGCGGCGGGGUAAGUCGGGUGUGAAAUCUCAGAGCUCAACUCUGAAAUGGCACUUUGAUACUGCCCUGCUAGAGGACUGGAGAGGAGAUUGGAAUUCACGGUGUAGCAGUGAAAUGCGUAGAUAAUCGUGAGGAAGACCGGUGGCGAAAGGCGGAUCUCUGGACAGUUCCUGACGUGAG
rnacentral:rRNA from 1 species